GUGUCAGCAGCCGCGGUAAUACGGAGGGUGCGAGCGUUGUCCGGAAUCACUGGGCGUAAAGGGCGCGUAGGCGGCUCGGUAAGCGUGCGGUGAAAGCCCGGGGCUCAACCCCGGGUCGGCCGUGCGAACUGUCGAGCUGGAGCACUGUAGAGGCGGGUGGAAUUCCGGGUGUAGCGGUGGAAUGCGUAGAGAUCCGGAAGAACACCGGUGGCGAAGGCGGCCCGCUGGGCAGUGGCUGACGCUGAUGCGCGACAGCGUGGGGAGCAAACAGGAUUAGAUACCCGGGUAGUCC
rnacentral:rRNA from 1 species